GUCCAGCCCUCCCAGAGAGGAUUCAGGUCUUUCGAAUU
rnacentral:other from 1 species